UACAGAGGUCUCAAGCGUUGUUCGGAAUCACUGGGCGUAAAGCGUGCGUAGGCUGUUUCGUAAGUCGUGUGUGAAAGGCGCGGGCUCAACCCGCGGACGGCACAUGAUACUGCGAGACUAGAGUAAUGGAGGGGGAACCGGAAUUCUCGGUGUAGCAGUGAAAUGCGUAGAUAUCGAGAGGAACACUCGUGGCGAAGGCGGGUUCCUGGACGUUAACUGACGCCGAGGCACGAAGGCCAGGGGAGCGAAAGGG
rnacentral:rRNA from 1 species